rnacentral:rRNA from 1 species
GCUUACGGCCAUACCAGCCUGGGUACGCCCGAUCUCGUUUGAUCUCGGAAGCUAAGCAGGGUCGGGCCUGGUUAGUACUUGGAUGGGAGACCGCCUGGGAAUACCAGGUGCUGUAGGCA